GCAUCACCUGCACAAACUGGUAUCCCUAUACACUACAUACCAUAAGCACACAUAUUAGAUCCUCUACAAUAACACAUCCCCUACACACUCCACUCCCUGUGAGCGAACUCAUGGGUGGGUGGAACAUAUAAGUGGACUUAUGAGUGGGCCUUGUGGGCAUACUCACCGUCAGGCCCUGGGGCCCAGACCUUGAGCUGUGUAAGGGGCCACCAAAAAAUGGAGCUGCUUCCAAUUCUCCCA
rnacentral:lncRNA from 1 species